CCUACGGGUGGCUGCAGUGGGGAAUAUUGGACAAUGGGGGCAACCCUGAUCCAGCCAUGCCGCGUGUGUGAAGAAGGCCCUCGGGUUGUAAAGCACUUUCAGUGAGGAAGAACGCCUGGUGGUUAAUACCCAUCAGGAAAGACAUCACUCACAGAAGAAGCACCGGCUAACUCCGUGCCAGCAGCCGCGGUAAUACGGAGGGUGCGAGCGUUAAUCGGAAUUACUGGGCGUAAAGCGCGCGUAGGUGGCUUGAUAAGCCGGUUGUGAAAGCCCCGGGCUCAACUUGGGAACGGCAUCCGGAACUGUCAAGCUAGAGUGCAGGAGAGGAAGGUAGAAUUCCCGGUGUAGCGGUGAAAUGCGUAGAGAUCGGGAGGAAUACCAGUGGCGAAGGCGGCCUUCUGGACUGACACUGACACUGAGGUGCGAAAGCGUGGGUAGCAAACAGGAUUAGAUACCCCUGUAGUC
rnacentral:rRNA from 1 species